CGCAGAGUGAUGGGUAGCAUUAUUGUUGAGUGUGACCGUUUGCCGAAAUUAAGAUUCAAAUAUUUCUGCAGAUUGGAGCUAUCGAUAGACUGUUUCCAAAAAUUGUCAAUUUAAUAAAAUGGUUAAAUCAAGAAAGCAGCAAUGGCAAAGGGACUUUAGUCACUUCGCCCAUCAAUAUCGCCGUGACCAGAAGAAAGUUAAGCAUCUAGUACAGCAGAUUCACUGGCUAAUUUGCAAGCACACGGACACAAAAUAUAAUAUUGCUUUGGAGAGCCAGCAGUAUGGGGAGAAGAUCAAGAAAAUCCAUGACGUGCGCCAAAAAGUAGAAAAUUUAUUGUCCUCACCGGAAGUAAAGCUGAGUGCCAAGCAUAAGGCAAAACUACGCAAAUUGAACUCAAUGCUGCCCAUCGCCGAUUCGUUAUUUGAUCGAAUCAGAUUAAUGGAGCUGCUGGGGGACCUGCCGACAUUUUCGGAAAACGUACAUCAGCGGAUGCGACAUUUGCAGAGUUUGCAUGGAAGCAGCUUGAAGCGGAUGGCCAGACACCAACAAGAACUGAAACGCAUCAAUGGGGAGACGUGCCAAGUUAUCAAUGACAUAAAAGAUUUGUGGACGAUCCUGGAAUAUUUAAGAAAGAGCCGAGGAAGAAAACGGAAAAUCGCGCAAUUGGCUGGAGCGCCUAGGGAACUUUGAUGUUUAGUCCACCAUUGUAGCGUGAAACAAGCAGGAGUGCCUCAAAUUGGACGCACGCCUUACAUAUGGAGAAACGGUUUGAGAAUUAUGCCAAGCAUUUAUAAUUAGGGGUUUAUAUGAAAUAAUUUAUUAUGCAAGAAUUAGUCUAGAAGGCGCGCUACUUAAAUGCUAGCAAAUGCUCUAUGGGCCUAGGCUAAUCCUCUCCAGCCAUAUGUACAAUCUGUAGUAAUCUUAAAACAUCUUAGCUCAUAUGGCCUGCCUCUUUGCUUUAACGUUCCAGCGUCCGUGCGCUCAACAGAAACCCGGAUUGGUGUGCUCGAUGAUGCAGCGUUUGCAGUACUUUUUGACCGCCCGAUAGCCCUCGAUAGAUAUCUGGCAGUCCUGUAUGUUCAGCUGCUGCAGGCCGCGGCAAUAGUAGGCAAUGCAUUGAACACCACGAUCCGUUAUCAUAUCACAAUUGCGUAGGCUGAGCUUCUUUAGGUUCGGGCAGCUCUCGGCAAGGGCGCGCAGACCCGCAUCGCUCACAUCGCACUUGCCUAUGUCGAGGGCACGCAGGCGGGGACAAGAGCGAGCCAGCACUGUAAUGGAGUCGUCGCUGACUGCCUCGCAGCCGCGCGCAUUUAAAUAGCGCAGCUUGUAGCAGCGCCGAGCAAUGACCUUCAGGCCCGCAUCCGAGACGCGCUCACAUUUGGCCACAGAGAGGUAGCGCAAGGCGGCGCCCAGCUUGGCCAGCUCGUACAGGCCGAAGUCCGUGAUAUUGACGCAAUCCGAGACGCUCAGUUCCUUCAGCGAAACACAAAAGCUUGGCACAAACUUCAGACCCGCAUCUGUCAUGGAAAUGGGAGUGAGCGUCGCAGAUAUAAAUACACCAGCUGAGGACAGUUCUUGACCACGAUCUUGAGGCCCAUGUCAUCGAUGGCCAUGCAAUCGGUUAGGUCCAGAUAUUGUAGGAGUAGCCGACGUGGUGGUUCCACAUGAGGAUUUGGACUGAUGCUGCUCACCUGACUGCAGCCUACGAGCGAAAAGAUGCUGUAGAUUGCUGCAUUUGGUGAGCGCUUCGACCAGCGCCUGAUUGGACACGCCGACACAGGUCUGCAGCUGCAGAUGCGUUAGCUCUGGACAGCGACGCGUCAGCAGCUGCAGACCCUUGUCUGAGAUGCGACAGCCAUCGGCAAGCAUGACGCGCUCAACCUCUGGGCAGGCGCCGUUGCAGCUCUGUCCGCACAGCUGGCGGAAGAUCAUCUUCAGCGUCUUGUCACCAUUGAGAUGCUCGCCGCGCAGCGUGAUGCACUUCCAGAGCACAGGACGCCAGGCGAGCUGCUCGAAGCGACGACAGACGCGCGCCACAUUGCACAGCUCGCAGCUAUCGAGCCAGCUGAAAAUGCGGACAACGGCAUCGUCGGGCAGGCGGUCAAAGAAGGGGCCACAGCGAUAGGGACCCUUCCGGUUCCAGGGCGGCGGUCCAAUAGCUGUGCCAUUAACCGUACCAUUGCUGCUGUUGGUCAGUCCACGGCGUGGAGUUGUGGUUGGCGUGCUGCUGGCAAUGACGCCGCCGCCAACAACGUUUGGGCUGCUAUUCUUUGAAUUGCUGUUAACCACAAUGCCCGCCGUGCUGCUCGGAUGGUGGCCAGUGGGCGAUGGCGACACCAGCGUGGCGUAGCCUUGGUCCAGGCUGGGCGAAAAGCGACCCAUAUUGCACAGUCCAUCGGAGAGGCUUUGCACUUUGGUGUGAUGGUGGUCCAGCUGAAAGGCAUUGGCGGGCGAAUUUGUGCUGCGAUUCAGCAGAUAGCGAUCCGAGCCGCUCGUUUCGCUGGGACUGGAGUUGCGCGGAUGAUGCAGACGUUCUAUAAUGAUAGAAACAACGUAUUGAAACUCUGUUAAAUCUUCGCGUGGAAUGGAAUGAAGAUGAUAAUAGCCGUAAACAAAAGGAAUAAAUAGCAUUUGUUAUCUCUCUCACCUGGUAAUCGCUCGUUGCCACUCCCGCUGCUGUAGUCCUCCAGGUAGUAGCGCUCGUUUUGGUACUGACUCGCCUCGGCACCCAGCGGCAGAGCUCGUAAUGCGUUGCCCAGAUACAGGGACUCCAUCUUCUUGUCCAGCAGAUAUUGGGCACUGCUGUUGCCAUUGCUCAGCACCGUGGGAACGCUGCAGCGUCCGCCUUGGGCUUGGCCACGCCUUCUGCUGCCGCCGCCACCACCCACAUUGUUGUCGCUGGAGUCUUCGGUAUCGGCGCUGUUGCCAUGCAGCCAGUCCAGCGUCAGAAAGUUGCGCGGCUGCGGCACUGGAGCUACGGAUCUGGUCGCUGGUGCGGGCAGCGUUUGCAGCUCCGGCGACUUCUUCAGCUGCGCAUGCCUGCCCACAGAGGCGGUGGAGUGGGUGCCAUAGCUGGACGAGGACUGCUCCUGUCGCGUGUGCCGGCCACGCAGCUCGAAUGUGGCCGCCUUUUGCUGCACCAUAUGCAGCACGGCUGCCGUCGUGGCCGUCGUCGCUGGCGUCUGCUGGUCGCUGUGCGGCGUGGAGCUGCGUGAGCCACGUGGAUAGAGGUCGGCAGUGGCUGCGGCAUCGUUGAUGUUGAGACCGAGGGUUGGCGACUUUCGUGACAUCUUAUAGGCUUGCGGAUCCAGCGGGCUGGAGCUCAAAGGAUGCGGAUGGUGGUAAUGCGCCGCCGCCAAUUGAUCUCGCACCGCAUUGCUGGUCCGUCCAAGCGACGCCAGUGGACACUCCAGAUCUGAGGCACGUCGCGUGCCCGUCUUGUGUGACAUUUUAUUUUAUUAUUAUGAUAUUAAUUUUGUUUUAUACUGUGAACUUCGCUUUGGAGCUGAAAGUCUGCAAGGAUAAAGAAAUAUCAAGUUAAUUAUUUUAUUUAGGGAAUUUUUAAGUAAAAAUGUGUAUGUGGAAGAAUUGUGCACUGUUAUAGAAAAGUUAUAUUAGGAUCCAUAGAAAAAAAAGAAAAUUUACUUGCAAAGCAUAAGGCUGAUAAAAAUUAAUGUCAACAAAAUAAAAUACUUUUAAAUAUGUUUAAAACAUGUAAAUAUGUUGAAGAUAUUAUAUAUCAGUUAUUUGUUUUUACUGAAUUUAAAAGAUAAAUAACUCAAAUGUUUUAAACGUGUAUAAAAUUAUUUAUACACAAUAUUAAGCCUAAUCUAUUUGGAAAGUUGCAAGGCAUUCGGAAAUGAAGUUGCCUGGUGAUUUUUGCUCAUUUUACAAACAGUUUAUCAAUAGCUGAGUUAUUAGUUUAUUUAUUUUCCCAAUCAAUAAAAAUACAUGAAAUACCUAAAAUUAA